rfam:Culex pipiens quinquefasciatus supercont3.460 genomic scaffold, whole genome shotgun sequence.
GUGGCAGUGCGUGGCGUGGUUACGCUGUCCGCUUUGUAAGCGGAUGAUUCUGGGUUCGAUUCCCAUCUGCUGCA